rnacentral:rRNA from 1 species
AACUGCGAGUGAAGCGGGAAAAGCUCAAAUUUAAAAUCUGGCGGUCCUUGGCUGUCCGAGUUGUAAUUUAGAGAAGCGUCUUCCGCGCCGGACCGUGCACAAGUCUCCUGGAAUGGAGCGUCGUAGAGGGUGAGAAUCCCGUCUUUGGCAUGGACACCCGGUGCUUCUGUGAUGCGCUCUCGAAGAGUCGAGUUGUUUGGGAAUGCAGCUCAAAAUGGGUGGUGAACUCCAUCUAAAGCUAAAUAUUGGCGAGAGACCGAUAGCGAACAAGUACCGUGAGGGAAAGAUGAAAAGCACUUUGGAAAGAGAGUGAAACAGUACGUGAAAUUGUUGAAAGGGAAACGCUUGAAGUCAGUCGCGUUGACCGAGACUCAGCCUUGCCUUGGCUUGGUGUACUUCUCGGCUUGACGGGUCAGCGUCGAUUUUGCCCCUCGGAUAAUGGCAAGGGAAAGGUGGCACCUUUGCGGGUGUGUUAUAGUCUCCUGUCGCAUGUGAGGGGUGAGAUCGAGGAACUCAGUGCGCGCCUCUGGCGUCGGGGCCUUUUG